rnacentral:rRNA from 1 species
UACGGAGGGUGCAAGCGUUGUCCGGAUUUAUUGGGUUUAAAGGGUGCGUAGGCGGUUCUUUAAGUCAGUGGCGAAAGCCUCCAGCUUAACUGGAGAAAUGCCAUUGAUACUGAAGAACUUGAGUACAGACGAGGUAGGCGGAAUUGACAGUGUAGCGGUGAAAUGCAUAGAUAUUGUCAAGAACACCGAUUGCGAAGGCAGCUUACUAGACUGUAACUGACGCUGAGGCACGAAAGUGCGGGGAUCAAACAGG